rnacentral:rRNA from 1 species
AAAUUGAAGGGUUUGAUUCUGGCUCAGAAUGAACGUUGGCGGCGUGGAUUAGGCAUGCAAGUCGAGCGAGAACCGUAGCAAUACGGGGACAGCGGCGAAAGGGACAGUAAUGUGUAGGUACCUACCCUGAGGUUCGGGAUAGCUGCGGGAAACUGCAGGUAAUACCGAAUAAUGUCUCCGGACCAAAGGUGUGAUUCCACCUUAGGAGGGGCCUGCAUCCUAUUAGCUAGUUGGUGAGGUGACGGCUCACCAAGGCAACGAUGGGUAGCGGGUGUGAGAGCACGACCCGCGUCAUUGGGACUGAGACACUGCCCAGACACCUACGGGUGGCUGCAGUCGAGGAUCUUCGGCAAUGGGCGAAAGCCUGACCGAGCGACGCCGCGUGUGGGAUGAAGGCCUUCGGGUUGUAAACCACUGUCAACGGGGAGGAAAUGUAGGGGGGUACUCCCCUCUAUUUGACCUAUCUGUGGAGGAAGUACGGGCUAAGUUCGUGCCAGCAGCCGCGGUAAGACGAACCGUCCAAACGUUACUCGGAAUUACUGGGCUUAAAGGGUGCGUAGGCUGCGCGGAAAGUUGGGUGUGAAAUCCCUCAGCUCAACUGGGGAAUUGCAUCCAAAACUGCC